CCCCGCCCCCAUGACACUCCUGGCAGGGGCCUGGGGGCAGCUGUGCUGAGGAUUCUGCGUCGUGGGUAGCACUUAGUCCAGCAUCACUCCCAUGGGACAACUGGACUUGGACUUGAACUUGCCCCAGGGCAUGGAGCAGGGAUCCUGAGCCGGGAUGCUUGGAAGGUCAUGGCCACAUGAUGAGGGCACGGCAAGGUGGGCGAGCCUGGUUCACCAGAGUACCCCAGAGAUUUUGUGUGGGUGCCCCGGGGGUCAAACCCCUGCAGACCUGCUCUGCUCCCAGUCCUUGGCCGCCUCACGCUCAGGUUAUUCUGUGUCCAGGAAGAAGUGAACGCUUAGACCUGGCACGUUCCCACGGUGCCUCAAGUCUCCCAAGGUUGAGGACCCCUAGCCUUGGCUUUCGCAAGGGCAGUUUGUGGUCAGGGUGACCAGCUCGGCCCAGGUGGAAGACAGGGUAGCUUUGUACCAUAUAGACUAACUAGAUCGGUGGUUCCCAAUCUGUGGCAUGCAGACAACCUGUCAGUGAAACAGUGAUGUCACAUUGGUAUGAAUAGAACUUGAUGACCUCAACAAAUUCUGAAGGAAGUAAAGGCAUUUGUAAUUUGCAGACCAGGGUGCAGGGCAGUCGACCAGAGAUCCGGGGUACCGUAAUAAUUGGACUGCGUCCAGAAAGCCAGGAGUUCAGAGCUGGAGCUGCAAGUCAAAAGUUCAACAGCAGAGUCAGGGUCAAGACAGUAUCGAGGGAUCAAAACUGGGAGGUCCAGCACAGAAUCAGGAAUACAAAAAUCAGGUAAGGAGAUCCACAGUUGAGGUACUUACUGUUGCAAGGAUAAGGCUCUACUGGGAGUGGAAGGGUUUUACAGCCUUCACAUCAGAGCCCUGUGGCUCCCAUUGGCCCUCCCAGGUCAUCUUAUUAGGGACCUUUAAGAAGGGCCCAGCGUGGGAUGGAGCAGGUGUGUAUCUAGCUGCCUGGUGGAGCUGCAGCCUGGUCAUAAGAACACAAGUGCCAUACUGGGACAGACCAAUAGUCAAUUCUGACAGUGGCAAAAGUGGAUGUUAUAGAGAGAGAACACUGAACUGGAUAUCUCUAAAGCAAUCUAUCCUGUUUAAUACUCUUUCUGCUAUCUACCAUGAUGGGUUUAGAGAUGCCAGAGAAAACAUCUCCAACCAUUCCAUUCAAUAGUCAUUAAUAGAUCUAUCAUCCAUCAAUUUAUCCAGUCCCCUUUUUUUUUUUUUUUUUUAACCUCCCCUUACUGUCUUGCCUGGUCCUUUGCCUGAAGGCACCGUGAGUCGGGUUUUGAAUCCUUGGGGUCAGGACAGUACAUGCUUUUGCUACAACUGUACCUAGGAGUCAGAGCAAGAAUUUAAAAUAUCAGAUUUUCUUCUUCCAGGAUCUAGAGCCCAGUAAGGCUGCUGUCAGGGGUUUGUAACAAGUUCAAAUGGAAAAGAAAAAGGUGGCCUCAAAAGAAAAUGUUAAAGUUGUGUUCUUUCUCUAAAACGGGUACAAAACUAGAGUUUUUCAUGUAUAGUAAGAACAGAAGUUUAUCAACUACAAUUAACUGAUGCUUCACUUUCUGAACUUGGCCAAGCUUUCUCCUCCUUCCCCUUUCAGUUCUUUCCCUUUUGUUUUAAAGUACAGCCUUUGAAAAAGGCUGAGAACGUCAGUGGUAUGGGAGGGUUAAUGCAAUCCCUGGCACUGAGUGAGUUUUUUUGAAAACUGAUUUAUCCUACUCUUACUAGUUAUCAAUAAAAUGUGCUGAUGAACAGCAGCUGCAAUUUGAGCUCCAAGUAGUAAAGGUCAGGAUUCAGUGCAUCCUAGUGGACAUAGUCUUGAAAGAGCAUUAAGCAGCUGCAGCUUGUUUACUAGUGAUUUUGAUGAAGAGGCUAGGGGAGAGUUUCUACUCAGGAAUAAAGCUGUUUUCCAAUGGUUGAUUCUACUCUGCAGCUUUUUCUUUUUCCUUUUUUUUUUUUAAAUGCCCUAAAAGUCCUGCACCUGACAUGCCAUUCUGUUCUCAUAAAGUAAUCUUCUUCAUAGUAGAAACUGAUCAUCACCCGAGAGGUGUAAUGUAAACAGCUGGAUUAGUUCUAGCUGCAGGUAAAAGCAGAUAGCAGAUAUUGGAAAUAUUUACUAUAUUAGUGUUAAAUAUUCAAACAGUAAUGUGUUAAUGGAAACAAUUCUAGGCAUAAACUAUUACAUUUCAGAUGUUUCUUGUUGCAGUUGCAUUGUAAAAUCCUGUAUUUCAGGGGCAUGAAACUCAACAGGGGCCCCAGGCUAGAGAUUGGAUAGUCAGGCUCCUCACAGUCAGAUCCAGCCUGGGACACAAAGGUGGUUGCUUUCACCACCGUGGUAGAGAGGGAUCUGGCAGUGGUUGGUUAUGAGGUUAUGAAAUACUAAAUAUACAGGUAAGAAAAACAGCAGAGUUGAAGGAAGCAACAUAACUUAGGUGUUUCAAUAAAUGCCCAUUUUAAAAAAGUUUCUUGCUUCCUCAUUUGUUGAAUAAUUUUAAUUGACUACAAGCUGUUGUCUACAUCUGUAUUUUAUGGUUAGGAUUUAUGAAUAAACUUGAUGUUAUUUUGGUUUUGCUUUUUUAAAAUGUGUAAAAAUAGAGCGUAGAUAUCAGUAAUCAAAUAUGUAGAUAUGAAAAAACAUAAGAUAUAUUCUCUAUUGCAGGGGUCAGCAACCCCCGGCACACGUGCCAAGCAUGGCACGCAAGGUUAUUUUGCU